rnacentral:lncRNA from 1 species
GAUCAGCAUCAGACUGGACAGUUUCCUUUUGGUUCCCUUGAUGCAAAAUGUGCCUGUUGAGAAGGCAUCUGUUUAAGGGAUUACAGAGUGCAAAUGGUGAUGUGCAGAGACCUCUAGAGACCACAGCGCCUUACUGCACUUAAUCACAUGCAGAUAGGGCUCCGUGCCGAAGUCAUGACGUCAUCGGGAACGGUGAAACUGGCCAGAAAAUGAACAAGGUAACUAGCUAUAGCUUGAGAGGCCGGACUCGCAAAUGUCGCAUGGUUUGGGCUUUUCCCGCCCCCCUACCUCCACUUCUAAAUGAGUUAAUUAAGCUUGGCAGAAUCUGGAAGAAUCUCACUCCACAUUCACAUUUAUAUCAUAAUAAGGCAUCAGGGAAAAAUUUUAGAGGAUGCAAAAAUCAAGUAUUCAUGGACAGUCAUUCUGGUUAAGUUUCAAAGGAGUAGGACUUGCAUUGCUCUUCAGGUGUUGAUAGAUUUCUAACAAUCUUGAGAAAAGGAACCUGAACUUCAAAAAUGAUCUUAAAAACUAAACUUAAUAUGCUGCCAAGCUGAUGGAGAAGUCAGAAAUUGUAAUAGCAAGUAUGUUCAAUUUGGGUAUAAAGAUUUAAGUAAAAAUCCAGGAAUAGAGUUUAGAGGACAAGAUGAACCAACGAUUCAACAAGUAUUUAUUAAGCAUUCACUAUCUGUCAAACAUUCUUCAAAGCUUCGGAGAUCCAAAGAAAAGCAAAAUCAUUUCUGCCUACCCUCACCCUCCCAUCCACCCAAAAUUCACCAGGGAUCUUGCUUUCCUUCUCUAAUUACAUAGAAAAUUUGCUUAAAUAUGUAUGUAGUGUGUUCCUCCACAUUAUCUGAAGGCUGUGAAAAAUGUUUAUUUUUGCCUUUGUAUCUGCAGCAUCUAAUGCAGUACAAAGCAUAUGGCAGACAUUUAAAUAAUGAUUGUUGAAUUUAUUUCAAUAAAUACAUCUUACAGAGUUGUCUUAAGUAUAGA